rnacentral:snRNA from 1 species
AGUGGUUCAGCCUUUUGGCUAAGAUGAAGCGUAGGUAUCUGCUCUUAUCAGUUCAUCGUCUGAUAUGUCCUCUCUCUGAGGACAGCAUAUUUUUUUAAAGUGCUGACUUCUA